GAUGAAGAACGUAGCGAAAUGCGAUAAGUAAUGUGAAUUGCAGAAUUCAGUGAAUCAUCGAAUCUUUGAACGCACCUUGCGCCCUUUGGCCAUUCCGAAGGGCAUGCCUGUUUGAGUAUCAUGAACACCUCAACUCUUCAUGGUUUUCCAUGAUGAGCUUGGACUUUGGGGGUCUUGCUGGCCUGUGGGUCGGCUCCUCUCAAAUGAAUCAGCUUGCCGGUUUUUGGUGGGCAUCACAGGUGUGAUAACUAUCUACGCUUGUGGUUUUCCACCAGGGUAACCUUCAGCAGUGGAGGUUCACUGGAGCUUACAAAUGUCUCUCCUCUGUGAGGACAGCCCUUUGAAUGUUUGAUCUCAAAUCAGGUAGGACUACCCGCUGAACUUAAGCAUAUCAAAGCGGAGGA
rnacentral:misc_RNA from 1 species